rnacentral:rRNA from 1 species
GAGUUUGAACCUGGCUCAGGAUGAACGCUGGCGGCGUGCCUAACACAUGCAAGUCGAACGAAGCAUCCCUUCCGAUGAAUGGACCAGCUUGCUGGGAAAGGAAUCAAUUGGGAUGACUGAGUGGCGGACGGGUGAGUAACGCGUGGGUAACCUGCCCCAUAGAGGGGGACAACAGCUGGAAACGGCUGCUAAUACCGCAUAGCAGGAAAGAGACGCAUGUCUUUUUCUUCAAAGAUUUAUCGCUAUGGGAUGGACCCGCGUCUGAUUAGCUAGUUGGUAAGGUAACGGCCUACCAAGGCGACGAUCAGUAGCCGGCUUGAGAGAGUGGACGGCCACAUUGGGACUGAGACACGGCCCAGACUUCUACGGGAGGCAGCAGUGGGGAAUAUUGCACAAUGGGGGAAACCCUGAUGCAGCGACGCCGCGUGAGUGAAGAAGUAUUUCGGUAUGUAAAGCUCUAUCAGCAGGGAAGAUAAUGACGGUACCUGACUAAGAAGCCCCGGCUAACUACG